rnacentral:lncRNA from 1 species
AAGUCUCGUAUAAUAUGUGUACACCUUACUGGCCUAUAUACCUUUCACCUAUUUUCCCGAAUAUCUCGCCUAUACAAUGCCCGAAAAAAUACAGACGUUCGCGGCCUUGUCUUUGUUGUUUGUCGUGUUAGGCCUGUGUCUUUUCUUCGUUCGUUUUCUCUGCUGUCGGUGACCUGGGUGCGUGGAGGGUCAUUGUUGCAGAGCCGGUGUUUCAGUUCAAGCCCCUAGUUUUGGCCGCUUGGUCACCCCUGAGCAGGCACAUGUUUUGGCUUCCCGUCGUCCCUCUCUUCAAUGGGCAUCCGUCAGCAUCUGUUGAGUGAUCCGUCGCGUCGGUGGCGGUGGGUCAGUCUGUGUUCCCUCUUUUGCCUGCGUAGAGGUGGCGCGUCCGCCCCCCCUGCUGCUGGGGUGUCGUUUGGAGGUCGUUGAGGCGUUUGGCUUCGGGAGUUUCGGUGUGCACGCCUGUCUGGCAGCUCUCGCGUUCUUUUGCCCUCUUGCGGGUCGGCGCGAUGCGCCGUUUGGUGGUUCAGUAUUUCAACCGCUAGAGGGGGUAUCUUCUCCUUUGGCAUUUGUCUCUGACGCAACAACUAAUGCGAGCUUGCGUUAAGUAAGAUGGGUUAGUUGUGCGUAAGGCCCAGUGCUGCCCGUGUCCUCAGGGCCGUAAUUCAUUGCGCGCAUUACACUAAUAAGCUUAUGUUGGAAUUGUUGUUCAGCGCGUAUGCAUUUCUUAUACUCACGCUGAUCCUUCUAUAACGACAGUCACUGUCGUCUUACACUGUGUAAGGCAAAGCCCAAUGAUUUAGCAUCUUCAUAACAAGAAUCUGUCUUUCUUCCUCCAUAAUGGUGCACCAUUCAUUUGCAGGCAAGCAGCGGGAAGCAGGAAAAGGGGGACUAGACGGCACCAGCAGUAAGUUGCCAUCAUGCAGGUGCAUACACUGACAUUAUGCCUUGCCAUUUUACAUUCCAAGGACACGAGCGAGCAGAAGGAGAAUCGCAAGGAACAGGACAAGCGCAAGGAUGGUAGUAAGGAUAUGAACACGUUAUGCCGGUGUCACACCUACAGCCGUCAUUGUACGUAACAUGCUCACAACUAUGUGUUCCUGCUUAAAUCAUGAUUUGUUGUGAUCCUUUCAUGUGCAGAAAUAUGCCGUCGUUCGUGAAGAUGACACCAGCGGAGGCGAGGAUUGAGCGCUUUAGUAAGAAUACAAUAGUGGCUGUAUUGUGGUACAGUUACAUGCGCUUAACAUUUGUGUGUCCAUUUUUUCUGACACUUCUAGACUGUUGAACGCGUUUACAUGGUAAGAGUUAUGUUGGGGAUUUGCUAUGAAUUCGUACCUGUUAUUCAGGGAUAGUUCAAAUGUAUGAAGAAAACAGUGAGUGCUGUGGUUCACAGGUCAUGUGCAACGGCGAUGCACAUUGCACUUUGUACAGCUCGU